rnacentral:rRNA from 1 species
UACGGAGGGUGCAAGCGUUAUCCGGAUUCACUGGGUGUAAAGGGUGCGUAGGCGGGAGAGUAAGUCCGCGGUGAAAUCUCACGGCUCAACCGUGAAACUGCCGUUGAUACUGCUUUUCUUGAGUUCGGGAGAGGUUGAUGGAAUUCCAGGUGUAGCGGUGAAAUGCGUAGAUAUCUGGAAGAACACCAGUGGCGAAGGCGGUCAACUGGCCCGUAACUGACGCUGAGGCACGAAAGCGUGGGGAGCGAACAGG